rnacentral:misc_RNA from 2 species
AACGCAUCUUGCGCUUGCUGGUAUUCCGGCAAGCAUGCCUGUUUGAGUGUCAUGAAAAUUAUCAACCAUGACUUGGGUUUAGGCCCUCGUUCUUGGCUUGGAUUUGGGUGCUUGCGGUCUUGUGCUGCUCACCUUAAAAGGAUUAGCUGGACAUGUCUUUUGACUUGGUUCUACUUGGCGUAAUAAGUAUUUCGCUGAGGACAUCCCUUCUGGGGUGGCCAAGACUCUGGCAAACGUCUGCUUUCUAACUCGACUGUCCUCGGACAUCACUUUUUAUGAUCUGGCCUCAAAUCAGGUAGGACUACCCGCUGAACUUAA